rnacentral:lncRNA from 1 species
AUUACCAGGGCUGAGCACGUGAGCCAUGCAGCAGCGUCCCUUCUUUUGUUCAAGAGACUCUGUCCUGGCCGGAAAUUGAGAAACCAACACAGGCCAUGGAGGACGUUCAUCUUUAAGAAGACCUGUGCCACGUCAGAACGACAUGUGUCAGAGGAAUUACUCACUUGACAAAAAAGGUGCCUUUCUCAGAGAAGGAGGUGGCCCUCAGAGUUCCCUGACAUCAUACAUCAGAGCCCCCGUCCUGUGUUCCUGCCCUCAGGAUCCCAAGGUCUCCCAGAUGUGACUCAAGAUUGAAACCUUCGUUAAGGAUGCAGGAGCCUCAGUCCCCGGUCUCACAGCCUCUAGAGUCUGCUGGCUCUUGGGGACUUCUCUGUGCUUCUCAUUUGAUAGUUAAGCCAUCUGAUGCUCAGAGAGGCUAAGUGACUUGCUCAAGGUCACACAGCAGGAGGACUUGAAAUUCAAAUCCAGCCUACAGAGUUCAUGGCCUUUCCACAGAAGGGCCAAGAGCCCAGGACACAUGCUUCGGGAAGCUGUGUUCCUUAGCUGUGUCGAGCCUGCCCUGUGUGGGUAGGAAAAAUGGCAGGGUGGGAGCUUUGAAUACAGUGCCAUGCCACUGGCAGAGCCCAGACCACAAAUCCACAGGCUUGGACCCUGGCAACCUUGGCUGAGCCUCAGCUGUCUCCCGUGGAAAAUGGAAAAUAAAAG